AAUUUGUAGUUGCUUUUAAUAUAUGUGUUGGGAGGUGAAAUUUUUAGAUAUUAGGUAUUGAUUUUAACUAUAAUUUAAUCUAGAGGCUGUAAAGGUUUAGAACUAAACUAGGAUUAGAUACCCUAUUAUACUAAACUGAUAAUUUAUUUGCUUGAGUAGUAAUCAGUUAUGUUCUUGAAACUUAGAGGAUUUGGCGGUAUUCAAGUCUAGUUAGAGGAACCUGCUCUUUAAACGAUAUGCCACGAAUUAUCUUACUUAUUCUAGCUUUCAGUAUGUAUACCGCCAUUAUUAAGAAGUGUUUAAAAAUAUUUUUUGUAAUAACAAUUUAUUAAUAUAUUAGGUCAAGGUGCAGCCGAUGGGUAAGUAGAUGUGGGUUACAUUGUGUUGUAUAUUCGGAUUAAUUCUUGAAAAGGAUUUUUAAGUUGGAUUUAAUAGUAUGCUUAUUUUAAUAAGUUAAGUUGAUAGAAGCUCUAGAAUAUGUACAUAUUGCCCGUCGCUCUCAUAA
rnacentral:rRNA from 1 species